rnacentral:rRNA from 1 species
UACGUAGGGGGCGAGCGUUGUCCGGAUUCAUUGGGCGUAAAGCGCGCGUAGGCGGCCCCGCAAGUCGGCCGUGAAAUCUCCCAGCUCAACUGGGAGGGGUCGGGCGAGACUGCGGGGCUCGAGGUGGGUAGAGGGCAGUGGAGUUCCGGGUGUAGUGGUGGGAAUGACGUAGAGAUCCGGAGGAACACCAGUGGCGAAGGCGGCACUCUGGGCCGGAACUGACGCUGAGGAGCGAAAGCGUGGGGAGCGAACAGG